rnacentral:lncRNA from 1 species
UCAGGAGAGGUCACCUGGUCAUGUGGGGUCACGGGGUCAGGUGACAGGGUCACAUGGUCAGGGAUCAGGUGACAGGGUCACGUGGUCAGGAGGAGCCACAAGGUCAGGAGGUCAGAGGUCACAGGGUCAGGUGGAGUCACAGGGUCAGAUGACAGGGUCACAUGGUCAGGAAUCAGGUGACAGGGUCACAUGGACAGGAAGUGACGGGGUCACGGGGUCAAGUGGGGUCAUGGGGCCUGGGGACAGGUGGCAAGGUCACAUGGUCAGGAGGUCACAGGGUCAGGAGGAGCCACAAGGUCAAGAGAUCAAAGGUCAGGGGUCACAGGGUCAGGUGACAGGGUCACAUGGUCAGCAGGUCACAGGGACAGGAAGUGACGGCGUCAUGGGGUCAGGAGGAGCCACAAGGUCAGGAGAUCAGAGGUCAAGGGUCACAGGGUCAGGUGGGGUCACCGGGCCAGGGGGCAUGGGGUCAGGUGACAGGGUCACAUGGUCAGGGGUCAGGUGACAGGGUCACAUGGUCAGGAAGUGACAGGGUCACCUGGUCAGGAAGUGACGGGGUCACGUGGUCAGGAAGUGACGGGGUCACGUGGUCAUGGGGUCACGAGGUCACAGCCUCAGAAGAUCAGGGGUCACGGGGUCAAGAGGGGUCAGGGGUCAGAGGUCAGGGGUCAGAAGGGAUCACAAGCUCACGUGGAGCCACGGGGUCAAGAGGUCACGGGUCACGGGGUCAGGUGGUCACAAGGGCAGGGGGCACGAGGGGUCACGGGUCAGGAGGGGGCAGAAGGUCAGGGGUCAUGAGGUCAAGGGUCAUGGGGUCAGGAGGUUCAAGGGGCACGGGGUCAGAAAGGGUCACGGGUCAGGAGGUCAAGGGUCACGGGGUCAGGAGGGGUCACAGGGUCAGGAAGAGUCGUGGGGUCAUGGGGUCAGGAGGGGACAUGAGGUCAGGGGUCACCAAGUCAGAAGGUCACAAGGUCAAGAGAUGAUGAGGUCACAGGAUCCGGGAUCAUGAGGUCAGGGGUCACGGGGUCAGGAGGUUCAAAGGUCAUGGGGUCAGAAAGGGUCACAAGGUCAGGACUUGAGCAGGUCCCAGGGUCAGGGGUGGCUGGAUCGGGAGGUCAAGGGUCACGGGGUCAGAAAGGGUCAUGGGACACGAAGGGUCACCGGGUCGGGGUCAGGAGGCGUCAUGAGAUCACGAGGUGGCACACGGUCAGGGGUCAUGGGGUCAGGAGAGGUCAUGGGGUCAGGGGUCAGGAGAGGUCAUGGGGUUGGGGUCACGGGGUCAGGAGAGAUCAUGGGGUUGGGGGUCAUGGGGUCAGCAGAGGUCAUGGGGUCAGGAGAGGUCAUGGGGUCGGGGUCAGUAGAGGUCAUGAUCUUGGGGUCACGGGGUCAGGAAAGAUCAUGGGGUUGGGGGUCAUGGGGUCAAGGGUCAGUGGGGUUUUUGGUGGGGUCAGAGGUCACG